GAGUUUGAUCCUGGCUCAGGAUGAACGCUGGCGGCGUGCUUAACACAUGCAAGUCGAGCGAAGCGCUUACGACAGAACCUUCGGGGGAAGAUGUAAGUGACUGAGCGGCGGACGGGUGAGUAACGCGUGGGUAACCUGCCUCAUACAGGGGGAUAACAGUUGGAAACGGCUGCUAAUACCGCAUAAGCGCACAGUACCGCAUGGUACAGUGUGAAAAACUCCGGUGGUAUGAGAUGGACCCGCGUCUGAUUAGCUAGUUGGAGGGGUAACGGCCCACCAAGGCGACGAUCAGUAGCCGGCCUGAGAGGGUGAACGGCCACAUUGGGACUGAGACACGGCCCAGACUCCUACGGGAGGCAGCAGUGGGGAAUAUUGCACAAUGGGGGAAACCCUGAUGCAGCGACGCCGCGUGAAGGAAGAAGUAUCUCGGUAUGUAAACUUCUAUCAGCAGGGAAGAAAAUGACGGUACCUGACUAAGAAGCCCCGGCUAACUACGUGCCAGCAGCCGCGGUAAUAC
rnacentral:rRNA from 1 species